UACGGAGGGAGCUAGCGUUGUUCGGAAUUACUGGGCGUAAAGCGCACGUAGGCGGCUUUGUAAGUUAGAGGUGAAAGCCUGGGGCUCAACUCCAGAAUUGCCUUUAAGACUGCAUCGCUUGAAUCAUGGAGAGGCGAGUGGAAUUCCGAGUGUAGAGGUGAAAAUUCGUAGAUAUUCGGAAGAACACCAGUGGCGAAGGCGGCUCGCUGGACAUGUAUUGACGCUGAGGUGGCGAAAGCGUGGGGAGCAAACAGGG
rnacentral:rRNA from 1 species